AGUGAACGCUGGCGGUAGGCCUAACACAUGCAAGUCGAACGGCAGCACAGUAAGAGCUUGCUCUUACGGGUGGCGAGUGGCGGACGGGUGAGGAAUACAUCGGAAUCUACUUUUUCGUGGGGGAUAACGUAGGGAAACUUACGCUAAUACCGCAUACGACCUACGGGUGAAAGCAGGGGAUCUUCGGACCUUGCGCGAUUGAAUGAGCCGAUGUCGGAUUAGCUAGUUGGCGGGGUAAAGGCCCACCAAGGCGACGAUCCGUAGCUGGUCUGAGAGGAUGAUCAGCCACACUGGAACUGAGCCACGGUCCAGACUCCUACGGGAGGCAGCAGUGGGGAAUAUUGGACAAUGGGCGCAAGCCUGAUCCAGCCAUACCGCGUGGGUGAAGAAGGCCUUCGGGUUGUAAAGCCCUUUUGUUGGGAAAGAAAAGCAGCAGGUUAAUACCCCGCUGUUCUGACGUUACCCAAAGAAUAAGCACCGGCUAACUUCGUG
rnacentral:rRNA from 1 species